AUCUGAUUGCCAAAGAUUUUAUCGCUGAAAGAUGGGCUCGCGUCUGAUUAGAUAGUUGGUGGGGUAACGGCCCACCAAGUCGACGAUCAGUAGCCGGACUGAGAGGUUGAACGGCCACAUUGGGACUGAGAUACGGCCCAGACUCCUACGGGAGGCAGCAGUGGGGAAUAUUGGGCAAUGGGGGAAACCCUGACCCAGCAACGCCGCGUGAAGGAAGAAGGCUUUCGGGUUGUAAACUUCUUUUACCAGGGACGAAGGACGUGACGGUACCUGGAGAAAAAGCCACGGCUAACUACGUGCCAGCAGCCGCGGUAAUACGUAGGUGGCAAGCGUUGUCCGGAUUUACUGGGUGUAAAGGGCGUGUAGGCGGAGCAGCAAGUCAGAAGUGAAAUCUCCGGGCUUAACCCGGAAACUGCUUUUGAAACUGUUGCCCUUGAGUAUCGGAGAGGCAGGCGGAAUUCCUAGUGUAGCGGUGAAAUGCGUAGAUAUUAGGAGGAACACCAGUGGCGAAGGCGGCCUGCUGGACGACAACUGACGCUGAGGCGCGAAAGCGUGGGGAGCAAACAGGAUUAGAUACCCU
rnacentral:rRNA from 1 species